rnacentral:rRNA from 1 species
UACGGGGGGAGCAAGCGUUGUUCGGAUUUACUGGGCGUAAAGGGCGCGUAGGCGGCCACCGCAAGUCGAUUGUGAAAUCUCCGGGCUUAACUCGGAACGGUCAAGUGAUACUGUCGGACUAGAGUACAGAAGGGGCAACUGGAAUUCUCGGUGUAGCGGUGAAAUGCGUAGAUAUCUGGAGGAACACCGGUGGCGAAGGCGGCAUCCUGGACCAACACUGACGCUGAGGAGCGAAAGCCAGGGGAGCAAACGGG